GGUAACAUAAUCACUUGGCCCCUAAAUANGGACUAGCAUGAACGGCUUAANGAAGAUNACACUGUCUCUUANAAUUAACCUAUGAAACUGAUCUUGUAGUCCAAAAGCUCCNAUAAAAACACCCCACCAGAAGACCCUGUGGAACUUCAAAACCAAAACCAAACUAAUGACCCUUUGGUUUUUAGUUGGGGCAACUUCGGAGCAUAUACUAACCUCCGAUAAAAUAAAUCAAGACAAACAAGUCAAAAUAAUUNCCUUGACCCAAUUAGUCCUUACCUUAGACUAUUUGAUUAAUGAACCAAGUUACCCCAGGGAUAACAGCGCUAUCCCCUUUUAGAGUCCCUAUCGACAAGGGGGCUUACGACCUCGAUGUUGGAUCAGGACACCCCAAUAAUGCAGCCGUUAUUAAAGGUUCGUUUGUUCAACGAUUAAAGUCCUACGUGAUCUGAGUU
rnacentral:rRNA from 1 species